AUACUUACCUGAGUAGGGUGGACGGAUGAUCAAUAAGAUCCAUGGCUUAUGUUAGCCAUCUUCAUUAAAUUUGAGAGAGGUGUUUACCUAAGGUCUCCCCGCCUGGGAGAGCCCACAUCAUUAUUUGUGGCAGUGGGAGCCUGCGUUGGCUCUCCUCUAG